rnacentral:rRNA from 1 species
CCUACGGGAGGCAGCAGUGAGGAAUCUUGGUCAAUGGACGAGAGUCUGAUCCAGCCACGUAGCGUGAAGGAUGACUGCCCUAUGGGUUGUAAACUUCUUUUAUAUGGGAAUAAAACAGGGUAUGCAUACCCUCAUGUAUGUACCAUAUGAAAAAGGAUAGGCUAACUCCGUGCCAGCAGCCGCGGUAAUACGGAGGAUCCGAGCGUUAUCCGGAUUUAUUGGGCUUAAAGGGAGCGUAGGUGGAUUGUUAAGUCAGUUGUGAAAGUUUGCGGCUCAACCGUAAAAUUGCAGUUGAAACGGGCAGUCUUGAGUACAGUAGAGGUGGGCGGAAUUCGUGGUGUAGCGGUGAAAUGCUUAGAUAUCACGAAGAACUCCGAUUGCGAAGGCAGCUCACUGGACUGCAACUGACACUGAUGCUCGAAAGUGUGGGUAUCAAACAGGAUUAGAUACCCGAGUAGUC